AUAAUCUUUUUGAUAAAAACUAAAUUUAUUUUCAAUUUUAAAAGAUGAAAAUUCUACGAGUAUUCCCGUUUUGCGUGAGUAUAAUUUUAUUAAAAUUAAUGAUUAAAAUUUACAAAAUUUAACUUUAUAGAAGUAAAUAAAUCGUAAAUAUGUUUCAGUUAAAGCAAACACUCUGCUAAAACCCUAAACCCCCUCCGUGGGAGAAAAGAUGAUGGGCAUUGGAAGGAAUCUAACACAAGAAGAAGGAUGUAUUCAUAAAUUCUACAAAAUAGUUAAAGCCCAAAUCGUUCGAGGCAAAAAUGAGGAGGAAGAAGAAGAAACGGAUCGAGUGGAAGAUGGGCCUGGUACUUCAGUGGACUGCCUAAUCUUCAGUGUACUGGACUAAAUAUGUUAAGCUUAACAAGUUUAUAACGAUUAAAUUCACAGUUUGGUGAUGGUGAAGAAAUUCCCUCUGCAUAUGCGUUUGCAUUGGUUGAAGAUCUUCGAACACAUAUGACUAGACUCAGAAUGCAGUUAGAUGGAGAAAUAAAGAGAGUAGAUAAAGACGAGGUCGGUACUUCUAAAAGGCUGUUGAAGAGGCGUUCUCUAUUGUGCAACGAAAUAAACCUUGGAGCAUAAUGAAGAUUUGCAGUUUAUCAACCAUACUUCGUAAAUAUGUUGUCAUGCGUUCAAUUAGGUAUGCCAUGCAAGGAUGUGAUUUUAAGAGCCACUGACGAUAGCAUCAACAAUUCUGAAGAUCAGGCCUGGAAAAUUGGAAUUGAUAUCUCUACAACACACUUUAACCAUUUACAACAAUUUCUGCAUGAUACAGUUGUACACUGUGAAAUAAAUUUUAUACCUUUGUUGUAGAUGGUUAAAACUUGUUGUAUGUAUGAAUAUCACUCUCCGUGGAAAAUUAGUCCAUGAAUUAAUUAACGUAUCAAACACCUUUGUGAUGGAUCUUUUACUACUUACAUUACAAACUACAAAGUGGUCAGCUAGUUUAUUUAUACUUUUACUAUCAAGAUGUUCAACAAACGUUUUUUCAAGGAGUUUUACGGAGUUUAAAGCCUCAAGUUUUUAAAAUAAGUUUUUAUUAAAUAUUAAGCCUUGUUUGGAGAUAGUAUUCA